GACGAACGCUGGCGGCGUGCUUAACACAUGCAAGUCGAACGAUGAAGCCAGCUUGCUGGUGGAUUAGUGGCGAACGGGUGAGUAACACGUGGGUGAUCUGCCCCAAACUUUGGGAUAAGGCUGGGAAACUGGGUCUAAUACCGAAUAUGACCGAUACUCGCAUGGGUGUUGGUGGAAAGCUCCGGCGGUUUGGGAUGGGCCCGCGGCCUAUCAGCUUGUUGGUGGGGUAAUGGCCUACCAAGGCGACGAAGGGUAGCCGGCCUGAGAGGGCGACCGGCCACACUGGGACUGAGACACGGCCCAGACUCCUAUGGGAGGCAGCAGUGGGGAAUAUUGCACAAUGGGCGCAAGCCUGAUGCAGCGACGCCGCGUGAGGGAUGACGGCCUUCGGGUUGUAAACCUCUUUCACCAGGGACGAAGCGAAAGUGACGGUACCUGGAGAAGAAGCACCGGCCAACUACGUG
rnacentral:rRNA from 1 species